AAGCUCUCAUACAUUCAACUACUAAAACAAAAAUACAACAACUAAGCAACCUAAAAGUCUAAUACUAAAUGAUCAGAUCAGUGAGAAUGGACAUCGAGUUCAAGAUCAUGACAAGUGUAACAUAAUCAACCUCAUCCUCGAUCGAAAGGUCUGGUCUGAGUGGAAGAUGUCGGGGGACGGAAUGCAAUGGGCUGGACAAAAACUGGCUCAC
rnacentral:lncRNA from 1 species